CACGUAGGGUGCGAGCGUUGUCCGGAAUUAUUGGGCGUAAAGAGCUCGUAGGCGGUGUGUCGCGUCGACCGUGAAAACCUGCAGCUUAACUGUGGGCGUGCGGUCGAUACGGGCAUCACUGGAGUUCGGCAGGGGAGACUGGAAUUCCUGGUGUAGCGGUGAAAUGCGCAGAUAUCAGGAGGAACACCGAUGGCGAAGGCAGGUCUCUGGGCCAUAACUGACGCUGAGAAGCGAAAGCAUGGGGAGCGAACAGG
rnacentral:rRNA from 1 species